rnacentral:rRNA from 1 species
UAAUACGUAGGGGGCAAGCGUUGUCCGGAUUUAUUGGGUGUAAAGGGUGCUCAGGCGGAUUUGUAAGUCAGAGGUGAAAUCUCCCGGCUCAACCGGGAAACUGCCUUUGAUACUGCAAGCCUUGAGUUUGGAAGAGGAUGAUGGAAUAUCUGGUGUAGCAGUGAAAUGCGUAGAUAUCAGAUAGAACACCAAUGGCGAAGGCAGUCAUCUGGUCCAUAACUGACGCUAAAGCACGAAAGCGUGGGUAGCAAACAGGAUUAGAUACCCUGGUAGUCCACGCCCUAAACGAUGAAUACUAGACGUUGGGUCCGCAAGGAUUCAGUGUCUGAGCUAACGCAUUAAGUAUUCCACCUGGGAAGUACGAUCGCAAGGUUGAAACUUAAAGGAAUUGACGG